rnacentral:snRNA from 1 species
AAAGCACGAAUCUAUGGAGGCU